rnacentral:misc_RNA from 1 species
UCCGAGUUGACCCCGGCAGUCUCCCAUGAGUCCCCACCAUUACGUGCUGGCAACAUGGAACGAGGGUUGCGCUCGUUGCGGGACUUAACCCAACAUCUCACGACACGAGCUGACGACAGCCAUGCAGCACCUGUGUUACCGUUCCCUUUCGGGCACAUCCACCUCUCGGCAGACUUCGGUACAUGUCAAGGGUAGGUAAGGUUUUUCGCGUUGCAUCGAAUUAAUCCACAUCAUCCACCGCUUGUGCGGGUCCCCGUCAAUUCCUUUGAGUUUUAAUCUUGCGACCGUACUCCCCAGGCGGUCUACUUCACGCGUUAGCUGCGUUACCAAGUCAAUUAAGACCCGACAACUAGUAGACAUCGUUUAGGGCGUGGACUAC